rnacentral:rRNA from 1 species
AAAUUGAAGAGUUUGAUCAUGGCUCAGAUUGAACGCUGGCGGCAGGCCUAACACAUGCAAGUCGAACGGUAACAGGAAGCAGCUUGCUGCUUCGCUGACGAGUGGCGGACGGGUGAGUAAUGUCUGGGAAACUGCCUGAUGGAGGGGGAUAACUACUGGAAACGGUGGCUAAUACCGCAUAACGUCGCAAGACCAAAGAGGGGGACCUUCGGGCCUCUUGCCAUCAGAUGUGCCCAGAUGGGAUUAGCUUGUUGGUGAGGUAACGGCUCACCAAGGCGACGAUCCCUAGCUGGUCUGAGAGGAUGACCAGCCACACUGGAACUGAGACACGGUCCAGACUCCUACGGGAGGCAGCAGUGGGGAAUAUUGCACAAUGGGCGCAAGCCUGAUGCAGCCAUGCCGCGUGUAUGAAGAAGGCCUUCGGGUUGUAAAGUACUUUCAGCGGGGAGGAAGGUGUUGUGGUUAAUAACCGCAGCAAUUGACGUUACCCGCAGAAGAAGCACCGGCUAACUCCGUGCCAGCAGCCGCGGUAAUACGGAGGGUGCAAGCGUUAAUCGGAAUUACUGGGCGUAAAGCGCACGCAGGCGGUCUGUCAAGUCGGAUGUGAAAUCCCCGGGCUCAACCUGGGAACUGCAUUCGAAACUGGCAGGCUUGAGUCUUGUAGAGGGGGGUAGAAUUCCAGGUGUAGCGGUGAAAUGCGUAGAGAUCUGGAGGAAUACCGGUGGCGAAGGCGGCCCCCUGGACAAAGACUGACGCUCAGGUGCGAAAGCGUGGGGAGCAAACAGGAUUAGAUACCCUGGUAGUCCACGCCGUAAACGAUGUCUACUUGGAGGUUGUGCCCUUGAGGCGUGGCUUCCGGAGCUAACGCGUUAAGUAGACCGCCUGGGGAGUACGGCCGCAAGGUUAAAACUCAAAUGAAUUGACGGGGGCCCGCACAAGCGGUGGAGCAUGUGGUUUAAUUCGAUGCAACGCGAAGAACCUUACCUGGUCUUGACAUCCACAGAACUUUCCAGAGAUGGAUUGGUGCCUUCGGGAACUGUGAGACAGGUGCUGCAUGGCUGUCGUCAGCUCGUGUUGUGAAAUGUUGGGUUAAGUCCCGCAACGAGCGCAACCCUUAUCCUUUGUUGCCAGCGGUUAGGCCGGGAACUCAAAGGAGACUGCCAGUGAUAAACUGGAGGAAGGUGGGGAUGACGUCAAGUCAUCAUGGCCCUUACGACCAGGGCUACACACGUGCUACAAUGGCGCAUACAAAGAGAAGCGACCUCGCGAGAGCAAGCGGACCUCAUAAAGUGCGUCGUAGUCCGGAUUGGAGUCUGCAACUCGACUCCAUGAAGUCGGAAUCGCUAGUAAUCGUGGAUCAGAAUGCCACGGUGAAUACGUUCCCGGGCCUUGUACACACCGCCCGUCACACCAUGGGAGUGGGUUGCAAAAGAAGUAGGUAGCUUAACCUUCGGGAGGGCGCUUACCACUUUGUGAUUCAUGACUGGGGUGAAGUCGUAACAAGGUAACCGUAGGGGAACCUGCGGUUGGAUCACCUCC